AACGAACGCUGGCGGCAUGCCUAACACAUGCAAGUCGAACGAGACCUUCGGGUCUAGUGGCGCACGGGUGCGUAACGCGUGGGAACCUGCCCUUAGGUUCGGAAUAACUCCCAGAAAGGGGUGCUAAUACCGGAUAAUUUCUUCGGACCAAAGAUUUAUCGCCGUUGGAUGGGCCCGCGUUGGAUUAGCUAGUUGGUAGGGUAAAAGCCUACCAAGGCGACGAUCCAUAGCUGGUCUGAGAGGAUGAUCAGCCACACUGGGACUGAGACACGGCCCAGACUCCUACGGGAGGCAGCAGUGGGGAAGAUUGAACAAUGGGCGAAAGGCUGAUCCAGCAAUGCCGCGUGAGUGAUGAAGGCCUUAGGGUUGUAAAGCUCUUUUACCCGGGAUGAUAAUGACAGUACCGGGAGAAUAAGCCCCGGCUAACUCCGUG
rnacentral:rRNA from 1 species